ACGAACGCUGGCGGCGUGCUUAACCCCUGCCCGUCGAACGGAAAGGCCCUGCUUUUGUGGGGUGCUCGAGUGGCGAACGGGCGAGUAACACGUGAGUAACCUGCCCUUGACUUUGGGAUAACUUCAGGAAACUGGGGCUAAUACCGGAUAGGAGCUCCUGCUGCAUGGUGGGGGUUGGAAAGUUUCGGCGGUUGGGGAUGGACUCGCGGCUUAUCAGCUUGUUGGUGGGGUAGUGGCUUACCAAGGCUUUGACGGGUAGCCGGCCUGAGAGGGUGACCGGCCACAUUGGGACUGAGAUACGGCCCAGACUCCUACGGGAGGCAGCAGUGGGGAAUAUUGCACAAUGGGCGGAAGCCUGAUGCAGCAACGCCGCGUGCGGGAUGACGGCCUUCGGGUUGUAAACCGCUUUCGCCUGUGACGAAGCGUGAGUGACGGUAAUGGGUAAAGAAGCACCGGCUAACUACGUG
rnacentral:rRNA from 1 species